CCGUCGCGAUGGUUAACUAUGAACCAGGUCAGGACAGGAAUGUAGCAGCCUUAAAUAUCUUGGCCAUGUGCGGCGGUUUUCUA
rnacentral:SRP_RNA from 1 species